rnacentral:rRNA from 1 species
UACGGAGGAUCCGAGCGUUAUCCGGAUUUAUUGGGUUUAAAGGGUGCGUAGGCGGAAUGGUAAGUCAGAGGUGAAAUCCUGCAGCUCAACUGUAGAAUAGCCUUUGAAACUGUCAUUCUUGAGUACAUUUGAGGUAGGCGGAAUGUGGUGUGUAGCGGUGAAAUGCAUAGAUAUACCACAGAACACCGAUUGCGAAGGCAGCUUACUAAACUGUAACUGACGCUGAGGCACGAAAGCGUGGGUAU